CCCUUAGAUGUUCUGGGCCGCACGCGCGCUACACUGACGAAUGCAACGAGCUUAUAACCUUGGCCGAAAGGUCUGGGUAAUCUCCAAAUUUCGUCGUGAUGGGGAUAGAUUAUUGCAAUUAUUAAUCUUCAACGAGGAAUGCCUAGUAAGCGCAAGUCAUCAGCUUGCGUUGAUUACGUCCCUGCCCUUUGUACACACCGCCCGUCGCUCCUACCGAUUGAAUGGUCCGGUGAAGCGUUCGGACCGUGGCCUUUGGACGGUUCGCCGUCUGUUGGCUGCGGGAAGUUCGUUAAACCUUGUCAUUUAGAGGAAGGAGAAGUCGUAACA
rnacentral:rRNA from 1 species